UGAAGCAGCCAUAUCAACCUGCAGCUCUCAACUGGCAGCCCACUGAAGCUAAGCAGGGUUGAGCCUGGUCAGUACCUGGAUGGGAGACCUCCUGGGAGAAACUAUGGUUGCUGCUGGAA
ensembl:rRNA 5S_rRNA 5S ribosomal RNA